UUACGGUCACAUCAUGUUGAAACACCGGUUCUCGUUUGAUAACUGAAGUUAAGAAAUAUAGAGCCUGGUCAGUACCUAAAUGGGCGAUCUCUUGAGAAUGCUGGGGGUUGUAAG